rnacentral:rRNA from 1 species
GAUCCUGGCUCAGGACGAACGCUGGCGGCGUGCAUAACACAUGCAAGUCGAACGGACUUAAUCGGAUGAAGUUUACGGAUGGAAUUUGAGAAGAGUCAGUGGCGGACGGGUGAGUAACGCGUGAGGAACCUGCCUAUCAGAGGGGGACAACAGUUGGAAACGACUGCUAAUACCGCAUAAAACGUCAUGAUGGCAUCAUCGAGACGUCAAAGGAGCAAUCCGCUGAUAGAUGG